ACAAGUCAGACACACAAAAUGGGAGAGAGGUAAAAAUCACAUGGUAGAUAUAGAUUAAUGAAAAUAUGGGUUAAUUUAAGUUAUAAGAGCUAGUGAAACAGGCCUAAGCUAAGGCCGAGCUUUCAUAAUUAGUAAUAAGUCUCCAUGUCUUUAUUUGCAGGCUGGUGGUUCAAAGCUAGUCCGACAAGAAAGCUCUACCACAGGAGGGCAUUCAUACUUAGGACUGUGUACCUGGUUCAAGGCCCAUAGUGGGGGAGGUCUGAAGUCCUAGGGAUGAACACAUUGCUUCUGUUUCUAGAUGGACAUAUUGUCAGACUAUCUCCUAAAUAUAUAUGUUUGUACUCCUAGACCGGUGCUGCUCUUAGCCCUGUCAGAGAAGGUUCCUUUUUCAGUGACUGCUGACUAACGCAGAGACUCUCAUGGCUGGUCAAAGUGCUGAGGGUGUUUGAUUCUCAACAGGACUUCAGACCAUCCCCACAGAAGAGGGAGGGGGAAAGAAGAUCUCACGGAAAUGAGUAAAGAGAGACAGGCUAUAAUUCAGCAGCAACAAAGACAAUCACUUCCAGCAAAUCCAAAACCGGAGAAAAUACAUCCGGAGAAAACAGGAAGAAGGGUUGUUUUUCCGUUGAGAGCCGAGCUAUCCUAGGCUGAUCUCAAAGGAGACUCCAGGAAGCUUGGUAGAGCAGCGGGCUUACAGUGGGCCCAAGGAUCCCGGACGGAAUAUCCGGAGUAUCCCAGCUCUGCUGCAUCCUAGGAGGCCGAUAAAGAGAAGGAAGGAAGCUUGCUGAGAAGCCUGAAGAGGCAGGUGCAGCCCUCAGCAAAUCCCAACUGCCACCGUAACCCAGUCGCUGCCACGUACCUCUCUGCUGUCUGCUCCCACUAGAGGGGCUGAGCCCCGGAGAGAGCGACUCCACCUCAUCAUGUCCUGCACAGAGCAGUGGGCAGGAGCCCGAGGUACACACGGUCUCUCCGACUGCUCAAGCCGGAGGUGCCCUCGCCUUACUCUUGGGGAUGCCCUCAGUGAGUGAUUCAGUCCUGGGGCCUGAUCUGAAAGGGCCUGGGGCUCCCGCGCUCUCAUACAGUGCCAGGUGCCCUUCUCUGUACUCAGGUGCCCUACUCUGUACUGAGGGGAGGCGAUGGCCCAUCGGAGGAUGUUAAAGAUGACCUGUGCACAUGUUGGAGGAAUCCACGUAGUCCCCACGUAGUCUCCAUCGCAUCAGCCCACACCUCCGCUCCCAAGCUCUUUAGAACCAUCAGUGACAGUGUCCUGGAAAUGGGUAAGGGAGAACAAUCCCAGUUCUCCACUGGGAGGUGUGCAAAAUGACCCCCGCCCCCAUUAGCGACGGAAACCUGGAUUGUAACGAACAACUUAGUACUAAAUGUGUAUCCACACAAGGCAGCAAAAGGAAUGGGGUUCAGUGUAUGUGACAACGCGGAGGAGCCCUGGGAGUAUGCUGGGGAAACAGACUGAAGAGGGCUGUGUAUUUUAGUGCAUGAGAUACCCAGAACAGGCGGACUCCUAGAAAACGGAGCGGGGGAUAGUAGCGAAGAAGCUGCCUUCGGUGGGUAAGCACAUCGUUUCUUGGAGAUGGUAUCUACAGUGGUGGUGGUCACACAAACAUGUCACUUGCUUACCUGCCACCAAGCUGUAAACUAAUAAAUGACUCAAAUGGAAA